rnacentral:rRNA from 1 species
GACGAACGCUGGCGGCGUGCCUAACACAUGCAAGUCGAACGGAAAGGCCCUGCUUUUGUGGGGUGCUCGAGUGGCGAACGGGUGUGUAACACGUGAGUAACCUGCCCUUGACUGUGGGAUAUCUUCAGGAAACUGGGGCUAAUACCGGAUAGGAGCUCCUGCUGCAUGGGGGUGGUUGGAAAGUUUCGGCGGUGGUGGAUCGACUCGCGGCUUAUCAGCUGGUUGGUGGGGUAGUGGCUUACCCAGGCUUUGACGGGUAGCCGGCCUGGGAGGUUGACCGGCCACAUGGCGCCUGCGGUACGGACCAGACUGCUACGUGAGGCAGUGGUCGGGAACAUUGCACAAUGGGGGGACGCCUGUUACAGCGACGCCCCGUGCGGGAUGCCGGCUUUCUGGUUGUAAACCGCUUUCGCAUGUGACGAAGCGUGAGUGACGGUACUGGGUAAAGAAGCACCGGCUAACUACGUG